rnacentral:rRNA from 1 species
ACACCAGACUCCUACGGGAGGCAGCAGUGGGGAAUAUUGCACAAUGGGGGAAACCCUGAUGCAGCGACGCCGCGUGAGUGAAGAAGUAUCUCGGUACGUAAAGCUCUAUCAGCAGGGAAGAAAAUGACGGUACCUGACUAAGAAGCCCCGGCUAACUACGUGCCAGCAGCCGCGGUAAUACGUAGGGGGCAAGCGUUAUCCGGAUUUACUGGGUGUAAAGGGAGCGUAGACGGCAGCACAAGUCUGGAGUGAAAGCCCGGGGCUUAACCCCGGAACUGCUUUGGAAACUGUGCGGCUGGAGUGCAGGAGGGGUAAGCGGAAUUCCUAGUGUAGCGGUGAAAUGCGUAGAUAUUAGGAGGAACACCGGUGGCGAAGGCGGCUUACUGGACUGUAACUGACGUUGAGGCUCGAAAGCGUGGGGAGCAAACAGGAUUAGAUACCCCAGUA